rnacentral:lncRNA from 1 species
UGUUCUAAUUCUCUUCUUACGGUUUGUAGCUGGCAAUGUGUUAGAUGUCAAUUUUAUAUUGCUACUUUCAUGAAUGCCAAUAGGAAGCCAAUGUUUUGUUACAUUUGAUAUUUAAUCUGAACAACUGGUUUGAAAUUCUAGAGAGAGAAUUUGAGGCAGUCUCAGGUUGGUUGUUCAGCAGAGGUUAUAUGUUCUUGUUCAAGAAUA